UGCGUAGGCGGUUCAGUAAGCAUCUCGUGAAAGCCCUCGGCUCAACCGAGGAAUUGCAGGAUGUACUGCUGGACUUGAGACGCGUAGGGGCCAGUGGAACUCUGGGUGGAGCGGUGAAAUGCGUAGAUAUCCAGGGGAACGCCAGUGGCGAAAGCGACUGGCUAGGCGCGUUCUGACGCUGAGGCACGAAAGCGUGGGGAGCGAACG
rnacentral:rRNA from 1 species